rnacentral:rRNA from 2 species
GUCUUUAUGAAUAUAAUUUAAAGUCUGACCUGCCCAAUGAUUAAUUAAAUGGCCGUGGUAUUUUGACCAUGCAAAGGUAGCAUAAUCAUUUGUUUCUUAAUUAGAAGCUGGAAUGAAGGGUUGAAUGAAAGAUUAACUGUCUCAAUUAAAUAAAUAAAAUUUUAUUUUUAAGUUAAAAAGCUUAAAUUGAUUUAAAAGACGAGAAGACCCUAUAGAGUUUAAUUUUAAGUUAGAAUUUUAAUAUUAAGAUUUAAUUUUAAAUUUUUAAUAAAAAUUUAAUUGGGGUGAUUAAAAAAUUAAAUAAACUUUUUUUUUAUAUUAACAUUGAUAUAUGAAUAUUUGAUCCAAUAUAUUGAUUAAAAGAAUAAAUUACCUUAGGGAUAACAGCGUAAUUUUUCUUUAGAGUUCAUAUUAAAAGAAGAGAUUGCGACCUCGAUGUUGGAUUAAAAUUUAUAGUUGGUGAAGAAGCUAAACUAUUAAGUCUGUUCGACUUUUAAAAUUUUACA